CAAAAACAUGUCUUGUAGUACAAAAUUUCAAGUCAGGUCUGCUCUAUGCAAGAAUGUAAAUGGCCGCAGUACUUUGACUGUGCAAAGGUAGCAUGAUAGUUUGCUCUUUAAUUGAGAGAAGGUACGAAUGGCUCCACGAGGGAGGGUCUGUCUCUAGCAAAUUCAGACGAAAUUUCAUUCUGGGUAAAAAUGCCUAGAUUGGUUGGAGGGACGAAAAGACCCUAAGAUCUUACCCUUGAGACCCAAAUUUGCAGGAAUUCAAGGUUUUUUUGGGAAGAAACACACACGUAGAACUGUUGGAAAAGAAAAGGAUUCCAGUCCAAAAUUGAGAACCCAAGAUAGUAUUACGGAUGAAGUUACCUUAGGGAUAACAGCAGAAUACUUACUAUCAAGACCACAUUUUUAGUCAGGGUUCUGACCUCGAUGUUGAAUUAGGGUACCCCCCAAAAGAAGAAGCUUGGGACGUUAGAUUGUUCAUCUAUUAAAACCCUACGUGAUCUGA
rnacentral:rRNA from 1 species